AGGAUGCCAGGUUAAGUUUGAAUUUCAGAUAACAAUGAAUAUUUGUUUAGUAUAAGUAUGUCCCAAAGAUUACAUGGGUCAUACUUAUGCUAAAAAAAUUUUGGUUUUUUAAUCUGAAAUUCAAAUUUAACCAGGUGUCCUGUA
rnacentral:miRNA from 1 species